GCAGUUUCCUUCCGGUUAUUGU
rnacentral:misc_RNA from 1 species